rnacentral:tRNA from 1 species
ACAAGUGUUGCUUAGUGGUAGAGCACUUGCCUAGUAUGCAUGAAGUCCUGGGUUAGAUCCCUAACACUGGAA